CGUCAGACAUUGCUGGCUCGUUUGUGCAUACAUACCUACAUACUAAUUUCAAUAUUGACAAUCGUUACGACGCUCAUAAGUAGGAUGACCGUGAAACUCGACUCUUAGUUACUUACAAACGACAAGUUUAUUUGUUUCACUUAUUUUUAAGUAACUAGACAUGGAAUAUAUCCCAGAAAAGUAUUAAUAGAAUGCUAAAAGAAAGGGAGUCAUACAAUUUUAAUUUUUCGAUAAGCAAAUCGGUAAAUCAUUAUGAAAGAGCAACAAAUUGGUAUUUUUUGCUAUCGAUUUUUUUUAUAACUGCUCUGCAUAAUCCAAUCUGUGGUUUGACCAGUUACUGUAUAAACAGCAGGUACUACAUACAUAUCAAUCGUAGCUCCCUUGGUAACGAAAUAUUCGUUCAUUAUGGCGAUCAAAUAUCAUUGUAAAAAAAACAGUCAACGUGCGAGUUUGGCUGGCACACCAAGAGCAAGCUUGUCACACAACCUCAGGGAAUAGGAAUAAAAAUAGAAGAUGCCGAAAAGGAUAAAGUAGAAUGAAUAAAUUUAAAAAAUAUCUAAAAUAAUGCUUGUUAUACGUCAUCUCAUUCUCGAUCGUGACACCCUAAAAUAUGUUAAAUUUUGAAGAUUUUGUGACCGGCCUGACGUCAACCCUCGUCGUGAAUGCUGCUUCAGGGGAUAUUUAGUGGACCUAUUCUUGGGUCGGAACCACACGGCGCAAAUUUUUAUUCCAAUCAUUUACGAAAUGCUAAAAUCUUCUGCGAAGUACUACAGGCACUACAAAGUGCUACGAACUACUACAAAAUGCUACGAGCUACUACAAAAUGCUACGAGCUACUACAAAAUGCUACGAGCUACUACAAAAUGCUACGAGCUACUACAAAAUGCUACGAGCUACUACAAAAUGCUACGAGCUACUACAAAAUGCUACGAGCUACUACAAAAUGCUACGAGCACUACGAAAUGCUACGAGCUACUACAAAAUGCUACGAGCUACUACGAAAUGCUACGAGCUACCACAAAAUGCUAUGAGCUACUACCAAAUGCUACGAGCUACCACGAAAUGCUACGAGCUACUACAAAAACGAGCAUUUCCUAGAAAUGAUAUGAUACGAUUUUAUUACAUUACCAAGCAAGCAAACAGGUAUAUGGCCCACCUGGAAAGUGGUCACCGCAGACUAUGGACACCUGCAAGAUCAAUGUGUCACACGCGAUACUGAAUUCUUAAUCUUGUCAUUACUGUUGUAAUUCAAGAGCUUUCUUCUUUCUGUAACAUGUUAAAAUUAAAAAAUUGUAUUAUAAACCAUAUUUAUUAACAAGCUUUGCUAUUAUAUUGGAGAGUGACACCACACUGAAAUAUCUUCAGCAAUAAAAAAAUCUAACCUGUGACUCAGUGCUAUUAAAAUAUAUGACAUUUUGCAAUUUCAAUACUUAGGUGCUCCUCUUUAGCUGAUCAUGUUUGCCAAGAAUUAAAAUGUAUACAAAUAAAGAAAAAAUAACUGAUCAAGUGCGUGCGUGCCAUGCGCAAUGUUCCGAAGGUCCUAAACAGAUUUGUACAAUAACGUAGAUAUUAUGCAUUUACUUCUAGAUUUAUGUACCAAUUACAAACUUGAGUGCAUACGACCGCAGAUUUAACUAGUAGUCGGAAUCCUGGAUGCGCAGGUCAGAC